rnacentral:rRNA from 1 species
GGAAUUUUGGACAAUGGGCGCAAGCCUGAUCCAGCAAUGCCGCGUGAGUGAUGAAGGUUUUCGGAUCGUAAAACUCUGUUGUAAGGGAAGAACAAGUACGAGAGGUAAUGCUCGUACCUUGACGGUACUUUGCGAGAAAGCCACGGCUAACUACGUGCCAGCAGCCGCGGUAAUACGUAGGUGGCAAGCGUUGUCCGGAAUUAUUGGGCGUAAAGCGCGCGCAGGCGGCCUUUUAAGUCUGAUGUGAAAGCCCCCGGCUCAACCGGGGAGGGUCAUUGGAAACUGGAAGGCUUGAGUACAGAAGAGAAGAGUGGAAUUCCAUGUGUAGCGGUGAAAUGCGUAGAGAUGUGGAGGAACACCAGUGGCGAAGGCGACUCUUUGGUCUGUAACUGACGCUGAGGCGCGAAAGCGUGGGGAGCAAACAGGAUUAGAUACCCCAG